rnacentral:rRNA from 1 species
UACGUAGGGGGCUAGCGUUGUCCGGAAUCAUUGGGCGUAAAGAGCGCGUAGGCGGCCAGAUAAGUCCGGUGUGAAAGUCACAGGCUCAACCUGUGAAUGCCGCUGGAAACUGUCUGGCUAGAGUCCGGAAGGGGCGAGUGGAAUUCCUGGUGUAGCGGUGAAAUGCGCAGAUAUCAGGAGGAACACCAAUGGCGAAGGCGGCUCGCUGGAACGGUACUGACGCUGUGGCGCGAAAGCCAGGGGAGCAAACGGG